ACUACGGGAGGCAGCAGUGAGGAAUAUUGGUCAAUGGGCGCGAGCCUGAACCAGCCAAGUAGCGUGAAGGAUGACUGCCCUACGGGUUGUAAACUUCUUUUAUAAAGGAAUAAAGUGAGGCACGUGUGCCUUUUUGUAUGUACUUUAUGAAUAAGGAUCGGCUAACUCCGUGCCAGCAGCCGCGGUAAUACGGAGGAUCCGAGCGUUAUCCGGUUGUAUUGGGUUUAAAGGGAGCGUGAAGGGGUUGUUAGUUGGUGGUGAAAGUUUGGGGCUCAACCGUAAAAUUGCAAUUGAUACUGGCAGUCUUGAGUACAGUUGAGGUAGGCGGAAUUCGUGGUGUAGCGGUGAAAUGCUUAGAUAUCACGAAGAACUCCGAUUGCGAAGGCAGCUUACUAAACUGCCACUGACAUUGAUGCUCGAAAGUGUGGGUAUCAAACAGGAUUAGAUACCCUAGUAGUC
rnacentral:rRNA from 1 species